AUGGCCCCGCUGCCGCCCCUCCCCCACCCGCUUUUGGGGCGAUUUCCCGGGAAUUUGGGGAGGCCCCGCCCCCUUUGGGUGGGGAAGGGGGCGGGGCCAAAGCCGGAAAGGAGGAGCCAAAAAAAUUCGGGAAUUUUGGGGGUGAAAAAUCGGGAAUUUGGGGGUUUCAAAAAAUGGGAAUUUUUAGGGGGAAAUUUGCGGAUUUUGAGGGAACAUUUGGGAAUUUUGUGGGGAAAUUGGGGGCGGGGAAUGAGAAAAUUGGGAUUUUUCACGAAAUUAUGGAAUUUUGGUGAGAAAAUUGGGGAUUUUGGGGGAAAUUUGGGGGAAAAUGGGGAAUUUUGGGGGAAAAAAAUCGGGAUUUUUGGGAAAAUCAAAGAGAAGAGUUGGGAGUCCUCCGAGCGGGGCAGAGCGGCUCCAACCGGAAGUGGCAUCAAAGGGAAAGCCUGGAUGGCGGCGCGGACCGGAAGUUACCAUAGAGACGCUGAGGGCUCGUUACGCGUAACGGGAGCCGCUGCUCAAAACGCUGAAGGAGAAAAAAGACGACCCAAAAAAGCCCCAAAAAGGAGAAAUCGUGGCGCAAUCGUGACGCAACGGUGACGUCAAACCGGAUUUAGAGACAGUUUUGGGUUUAAAUUCGCGUUUUUUGGGACUUUUCGCGUCCAGCUGGCUGCGGUUUUCCCGCCUACUUCCGCUUGGUGUCGCUUCUAUUCCCUCCCCCCCGCGCUCACUUCCGGUGCCGCCCGCGGUGAGUCCCCCACCGGCCGUUUUUCACCGUUUUUUCACCGAUUUUCCCCAUUUUUUUUGCACCGGUGUCCACUCUGUGGCCGGACAAUGCCCCAACCCCUCCGGCCACGUCCGGCCGAGCGCGUCCGGCAGCGCUGGCGGCGUUUGCGGCGGGCGGCGCGGGCGCUGGUGCUGGAGAACGCGGCCCUGUGCGACGAGCUGGCCCGGCUGGAGGCCAAGUGGACACUGGCCAGGGGUCAGCGGCGAUUCCUGCUCGGACGCCUGCUCGGACAUCGCAGUGGUCACUCGGCCCCUCCGGCCGCGGCCACAGAGGUCAAGCGGCCAAAGAGGGCGCGGCCGGCCGGGGGGCGGGGCCGGGGAGGGAGGGGCGGGGCCAGGGAGGAGCAGUGGUCAGUUGGGGAGAAGAGUGACCAGUGGUCAGCGGGAUCGAAGGGUGACCAGUGGUCAGCAAACUCCAAAAAUGACCAAUGGUCAGCGGGAUCGAAGAGUGACCAAUGGUCAGCAAACUCCAAGAGUGACCAGUGGUCAGCAGGCCCCAAGGAUGACCAGUGGUCAGUGGCCGUGAAGAAGGAGCAGUGGUCACCCGGAUCGAAGAGUGACCAGUGGUCAGCAAGCUCAAAAAAUGACCAGUGGUCAGCGGGGCCGAAGAGUGACCAGUGGUCAGCUGGAGGAAGAGCUGGGAUGAAGGACGAGCAGUGGUCAGCGGGGCCGAAGAGUGACCAGUGGUCAGCAGGGCCCAAGGAUGACCAGUGGUCAGCGGAGGUCAAGCAGGAGCAGUGGUCACCCGACGCCAAGAGUGACCAGUGGUCAGCGGGGGUGAAGAUCGAGCAGUGGUCACCCAGCUCCAAGAAUGACCAGUGGUCAGCGGAGGUGAAGAGUGACCAGUGGUCAGCAGAGGUCAAACAGGAGCAGUGGUCACCCAGCUCCAAGAGUGACCAGUGGUCAGCGGGGCCCAAGGAUGACCAGUGGUCAGCGGAGGUCAAGAUCGAGCAGUGGUCACCCGGAUCGAAGAGUGACCAGUGGUCAGCAGAAUCCAAGAAUGACCAGUGGUCAGCAGAAUCCAAGAAUGACCAGUGGUCAGUCGGCUCCAAGAAUGACCAGUGGUCAAGCGGGCUCCGGCCGGGAGAUGACCACAAGGGCAGCGCUGACCGCUCGGGGCGGCCGGAGGAGGAGGAGGAGGACGAGGAUGACCACGAGGAUGACCACGAUGACCACGAGGAUGACCACGAGGAUGACCACGAGGAUGACCACGAUGACCACGAGGACGAGGAUGAGGAUGAGGAGGACGAAGGCCCCGCUCCGGCCUUUGGCUACUCCGGCCUCUUCCUGGGCAGUCCGGCCGGCUCGGACGAGUGACCACCAAUAAAUGACCGCUGGCCGGAGCGGCCGGAGAGGGA
ensembl:lncRNA